ACUCCUACGGGAGGCAGCAGUGGGGAAUAUUGCACAAUGGGGCGCAAGCCUGAUGCAGCCAUGCCGCGUGUGUAGAAGAAUGGGCCUUUCGGGUUGAUAAAGCACUUUUCAGUAGGGAGGAAGGUAGUGUAGUUAACACCUGCAUUAUUUGACGUUACCUACAGAAGAAGCACCGGCUAACUCCGUGCCAGCAGCCGCGGUAAUACGGAGGGUGCGAGCGUUAAUCGGAAUUACUGGGCGUAAAGCGCAUGCAGGCGG
rnacentral:rRNA from 1 species